rnacentral:rRNA from 1 species
CCUACGGGGUGCAGCAGUGAGGAAUUUUGCGCAAUGGGGGAAACCCUGACGCAGCAACGCCGUGUGAGUGAAGAAGGCCUUCGGGUCGUAAAGCUCUGUCAAGGGGGAAAAAAUCCUUUCGAUCAAUAGUCAUUAAGGACUGAUGGUACCCCUAGAGGAAGCACCGGCUAACUCCGUGCCAGCAGCCGCGGUAAUACGGAGGGUGCAAGCGUUGUUCGGAAUUACUGGGCGUAAAGAGCGUGUAGGCGGUUUGGCAAGUCAGAUGUGAAAGCCCUGGGCUCAACCCAGGAAGUGCAUUUGAAACUGCCAUUCUAGAGUAUGGGAGAGGAGAGUGGAAUUCCCAGUGUAGAGGUGAAAUUCGUAGAUAUUGGGAGGGACACCCGUGGCGAAGGCGACUCUCUGGACCAAUACUGACGCUGAGACGCGAAAGCGUGGGGAGCAAACAGGAUUAGAUACCUGCGUAGUC